AGCUCCGUAGCCCAGAGGCUAGCACCUCUGGUUUCAUCCAGGCGGUCUGGGUUCGAAUCCCAGAAGUGCCA
rnacentral:tRNA from 1 species